rnacentral:misc_RNA from 1 species
GAAAUGUGAUAAGUAAUGUGAAUUGCAGAAUUCAGUGAAUCAUCGAAUCUUUGAACGCACCUUGCGCUCCUUGGUAUUCCUUGGAGCAUGCCUGUUUGAGUAUCAUGAAAUCUUCAAAGUAAAUCUUUUGUUAACUCAAUUGGUUUCUACUUUGGUAUUGGAGGUCUUUGCAGCUUCACACCUGCUCCUCUUUGUUCAUUAGCUGGAUCUCAGUGUUAUGCUUGGUUCCACUCGGCGUGAUAAGUUAUCUAUCGCUGAGGACACUGCAAAAGGUGGCCAAGGUAAAUGCAGAUGAACCGCUUCUAAUAGUCCAUUGACUUGGACAAUACUUUUAUGAUCUGAUCUCAAAUCAGGUAGGACUACCCGCUGAACUUAAGC